GUGAUGAAAGAAAAUGAUGAACUCAAGGAUUCUUUCUCCCAGCUUCAGAAGCAGAUGCUGAGCCUCAAAUCUGCUAGGAUUGUCCUGAAUGAGAGUCUUAUCUCCUGCAGAGAAAGAGCUGAAAUUGUUGAAAAACAGACACAAGUUCUUAUCAUCAGCAUGAAAGAAACAGAAUGAAGGUGGACACAAGCAAAGCUCUGUCAGAUUUCAUCUACCAUCAAAAUCUCAACUUCUAUAGAUCAGAAGAUGUUUGCUCUAGCCCAGUACUUCAUAUUCCAGGCUGAGAUGCCUCCCAAUAGUGCAUACAUGAAAAUUCUGCUCCACCUGGUGAGAGAUGAGGAUCCAGUUUUAUUCUCUGGCCUGGUGUUUGCUUCAGCUCAAGAGUUCAAGACCAGCCUGGGCAACAUGGUGAAACUCCAUAUCUCCCUCACCCCAGCAAAAAAAAGUUUACUCCUGCCAACGGUAAGUUUGUGUUCUACCUUCUCACUCAUAUUUGGUAUUGUGAAGACUUGGAUUCUAGCCAUAGUAAUAGGUGUGUAUUUCACUGUUACUUUAAUUUGCAAUUCCAUGGUGAUGAAAUUUUAAUUUUUGCACUUCAAAAGUAUUUUUGUAUGUUGUGAAAAAUAUUUUUUCCCAGUCUGCGACUUGUCUUUUGAUUCUCUUAAGUGUCUUUCAUAGAGGAGAAUUUUUAAUUUCAUUUUCUAAUUUAUCAAAUCAUUUUAAUAGUUUUUUUUUUUUUUUUUGAGACGGAGUCUUACUCUGUCACCAGGCUGGAGUGCAGUGGUGCAAUCUCAGCUCACUGCAACCUCCGCCUGGGUUCAAGUGAUUCUUCCGCCUCAGCCUCCCGAGUAGCUGGGACCACUGCCACCACGCCCAGCUAAUUUUUGUAUUUUUAGUAGAGACGGGGUUUCACCAUGGCCAGGAUGGUCUCGACCUCUUGACCUCGUGAUCUGCUGGCCUCGGCCUCCCAAAGUGAAUAGAUAUUUUUAAUAUUGUCUAAAACACAUCACCAAAUCCAAGCCUGGAUUUUUUUUGUUGUUGUUCUAGAAGUUUUAUGGUAUUACGUUGUACAUUUAUGUCUACGAUCUAUUUUGGCUGAAGUUUUGUAAAAGGUCUGUUUAGAUGCAUUUACUUGCAUAUAGAUGUCUAAUUAUUCCAGCACUGUUGACGAGACUUUUCUCCAUUGAAUUGUCUUUGUUCCUUUUUCAAAGUUGAGUUGAUUAUAAUGGUUUGGCUCUAUUUCUGAACUCUUUGAUUGCAUUGACUUACGUGACUCUUUUUUUUUUUCAC
rnacentral:lncRNA from 1 species